AGAUUGAACGCUGGCGGCAUGCUUUACACAUGCAAGUCGAACGGUAACAGGCCGCAAGGUGCUGACGAGUGGCGAACGGGUGAGUAAUGUAUCGGAACGUGCCCAGUCGUGGGGGAUAACGCAGCGAAAGCUGCGCUAAUACCGCAUACGAUCUAUGGAUGAAAGCGGGGGACCGUAAGGCCUCGCGCGAUUGGAGCGGCCGAUAUCAGAUUAGGGUAGUUGGUGGGGUAAAGGCUCACCAAGCCAACGAUCUGUAGCUGGUCUGAGAGGACGACCAGCCACACUGGGACUGAGACACGGCCCAGACUCCUACGGGAGGCAGCAGUGGGGAAUUUUGGACAAGUGGGCGCGAAGCCUGAUCCAGCAAUGCCGCGUGCAGGAAGAAGGCCUUCGGUUGUAACUGCUUUAGACGGACGAAACGUCUGUUAAUACCGUGGCUAAGUGACGGUAACGUAAGAAUAA
rnacentral:rRNA from 1 species